AGGUAUACACAUAAGAGUACUUGGACCAACGAGAUUGAGACGAUGGGUGUGUGCGUCAUCUUAUCAGGAAUUGGAAGACAUAUGUAGAACCGAAUUCUCGCUUCCAAAUGAUACUCAAAUACAAUUUAUGGACGCCGAAAAUACGCUUCUUAAUGAGUAUGCAUUUUCACUUCUAUCAGACCAAUCCAAUGUUGAAAUAAUUAUCGAUGGAAACUUCCCAGACAAGCAAGAUAUACAAGUACUUGGGCCCAAAAGACAGAGACGAUGGGUGUGUGCGUCAUCUUAUCAAGAAUUGGAAGAAAAAUGUAGACAUGAAAUACCGCUUCCAAAUGAUACUAAAAUACAGUUUAUAGACGCCGAAAAUACGCUUCUUGAUGAGUAUGCAUUUUCACUUCUAUCAGACCAAUCCACAGUAAAAAUAUUUCUCGAUGGAAAUCUUCCCGACC